rnacentral:rRNA from 1 species
GACGAACGCUGGCGGCGCGCUUAACACAUGCAAGUCGAACGGAAAGGCCCCUUCGGGGGUACUCGAGUGGCGAACAGGUGAGUAACACGUGAGUAACCUGCCCUUGACUUCGGGAUAACUUCAGGAAACUGGGGCUAAUACCGGAUAGGAAUCCUUGCUGCAUGGUGGGGGUUGGAAAGCUUCGGCGGUUUUGGAUGGACUCGCGGCUUAUCAGCUUGUUGGUGGGGUAGUGGCUUACCAAGGCUUUGACGGGUAGCCGGCCUGAGAGGGCGACCGGCCACAUUGGGACUGAGAUACGGCCCAGACUCCUACGGGAGGCAGCAGGGGGGAAUAUUGCACAAUGGGCGGAAGCCUGAUGCAGCAACGCCGCGGGCGGGAUGACGGCCUUCGGGUUGUAUACCGCUUUCAGCAGGGGCGAAGCUUGUGGUGACGGUACCUGCAGAAGAAGCACCGGCUAACUACGUG